rnacentral:ncRNA from 1 species
UUAGCUUCUUUAGAUAGUGUUUGUAGACAUGCAAUCAUGGAUACAAACAAACAUGUAUCUAUGAUGGCUAAAGCAAUUUGUGUUGACAAAAAAGCCACAUAGGAUUGAAAAAAAUCUAAGUGGCUAACCUAUUAUCUCCUUAUCAGAGCUCGUAAGGAUUAUUGAUGAAGACAAACCAU